rnacentral:lncRNA from 1 species
AUGCUUCUCUCCACGGCCUCAGAGUGCCUACCCUGCCCCUCUGGCCAUUUCUGUGGUGUGUCUGGCCUUGCUGCCCCCUCUGCACCCUGCUCCCCUGGCUACUUCUGUCUGGUGGCAGUCUCUUCCCCAACCCCAACAGGCCACUCAGAGAAGGGGGGCCCCUGUCCCCGAGGUCACUUAUGCCCCAGGGGGACCAGCCUCUCCCAGCCUUGCCCUGCUGGCUCCUACAGCAACCUGACUGGCCAAGCCUCCUGCUUCCCCUGCCCCGCCGGCUACUACUGCCCUGAGAGUGUCAGCACCUACCACGAGCACCCCUGCCCUGCCGGCUUCUUUUGCCCCAGAGGCACCAAGUACGCCACCCAGUUCCCCUGCCCUCGGGGCUACUACAACCCAGACCCACUGACGCAGAGCCUGGACAGCUGUCUGCCCUGCCCGCCAGGCCACUACUGCGGCCAGGAGAACCUGACCCAGGCCUCUGGGCCCUGUGAUGCAGGCUGGUUCUGCGUGUCAACAGCAUGGACCGCUCGUCCCUUCGACCUGGACAACUACACCAGCACCAAUUGCCUGUGCCCGGCCGCGGCCACAGCGGGGAAGUGCCUGGCAGGCUCCUUCUGCCCCGAGGGCAGCCCGGAGCCCAGACCCUGCCUGCCGGGCUCUUUCUGCGCCACCUCCGGCCUCUCCACACCCAGUGGGCCCUGCCAAGCUGGCUACUUCUGUGCAGAAGGAGCAGUGUCCCCAGCUCCACGGGACGGACUGACAGGGGCCCCCUGCCCCCCAGGAACCUUCUGUCCUGCAGCAUCACCCAGGCCUGUGCGGUGUCCUGCCGGCACCUUCUCCAGCUUCCCAGAGCAGACGGUGCCCUCUGCGUGCCAGGCCUGCCCGCGCGGCUUCUACUGCAAGGAGCCUGGUCUCCAGGCCCCCUGCUGGCAGUGCCCAGCAGGCUAUUACUGCCCCCUGGGCACAGCCGUGGCCACACACCCCAGCUGCCCAGUGGGCACUUACGGCCCUCGGAAGGGGCUGAGGAGCAUCACUGAGUGCCUGCUGUGCCCCGCUGGGAAGUUCUGUGCGCUGGCAGGGCUCGCAGCGCCCACAGGAGACUGUGCUGCAGGGCACUGGUGCAAGGGAGGAGCCACCAGCAAGGACCCCGCUGAUGGGGCACGAGGCCUCCUCUGCCCUGCUGGGCACUACUGCCUCGAGGGAGCUUCAGUCCCAGCCCGAUGCCCACCUGGUACCUGGUCUGAGGAAGGGAACCAAACCCCAGAAGGAUGUCAAGAUUGCUAUGGAGGACAACUCUGCUCUGGCAGCCACCCAUCAAUCUGGCCAGCACCCUGCCACCCAGGGUUUCUACUGCCCUGAAGGGACAGGGCUCAAUUGGCAGCCCUGCCCCCUGGGCACCUAAGGCCCAGUGCCCGGACUGGGCAGCCUGCCGGGAUGUGGAGUCUGUGACGGAGGCAGGUUCUGCCCCAGGGCCAGUGCCACGGAGGCGGGCAGACAGUGCUGGGAGGGCUUCUUCUGCUCCAGAGGGUCCACCCGGCCCAACCCGGAGGCUGGCACUGAAGAGGGGACUGGCCCAUGUCCUCAAGGACACUACUGCCCCAGGGGCUCAGCUGUGCCCCAGCCUUGCCCACCUGGCACCUUCGGCUCACGCGCCAAGCUCAGUUCAGAGGAUUCCUGCUCCCCAUGCCCGCCGGGCCACUACUGCAGCUCUGCUGGCCUUGCCAGCCCUCCUGGACUCUGCAGCACAGGUUUCUUCUGCCUCAGUGGGGCGCUCGUCCCCAACGGCUCCCUGGGAGACCAGGCCGGUGGCCCCUGCCCCACAGGACACUUCUGCCCCCCAGGCACUGCUGUCCCCAGGCCCUGCCUGGCAGGCACCCACAACGGCCUAG